GCCAAGGAUGUUUUCAUUGAUCUGGAGCGAAAGUCAGAGGUUCGAAGACGAUCAGAUACCGUCCUAGUUCUGACCAUAAACGAUGCCAACUGACGAUCCGUGGGUGUUUUAAUGACCCCACGGGCAGUCCCCGGGAAACCUUUAAGUCUUUGGGCUCCGGGGGAAGUAUGGUUGCAAAGCUGAAACUUAAAGGAAUUGACGGAAGGGCACCACCAGGAGUGGAGCCUGCGGCUUAAUUCGACUCAACACGGGAAAACUCACCCGGCCCGGACACUGUGAGGAUUGACAGAUUGAUAGCUCUUUCUUGAUUCGGUGGUUGGUGGUGCAUGGCCGUUCUUAGUUGGUGGAGCGAUUUGUCUGGUUAAUUCCGAUAACGAACGAGACUUUGGCCUGCUAAAUAGUAUACCUGUCCUCUGUGCUGGUUUAGGUGGCGGUUUUCACUGCCCGGUUUCGGGUGUGUGUGGCUGUUAUCCGGCUAGUACUGCGCAGGUGUUUACUUCUUAGAGGGACAAGCGGCGCGACAGUCGCACGAAAAUGAGCAAUAACAGGUCUGUGAUGCCCUUAGAUGUCCGGGGCCGCACGUGCGCUACAAUGACGGUUUCAGCGAGUUUUAAAACCUGGCCCGAAAGGGUUGGGCAAACUGAAUCAUAACCGUCGUGACUGGGAUCGGGGCUUGCAAUUUUUCCCCGUGAACGAGGAAUUCCUGGUAAGUGCAAGUCAUAAGCUUGCGCUGAUUACGUCCCUGCCCUUUGUACACACCGCCCGUCGCUACUACCGAUUGAAUGGUUUAGCAAGGUCAUCGGAUUGGUGCUAUUGUAGUUGUUUCGGCAACUCGACCGGUGCUGAGAAGACGACCAAACUUGAUCAUUUAGAGGAAGUAAAAGUCGUAACAAGGUUUCCGUAG
rnacentral:rRNA from 1 species